AUUGAACGCUGGCGGAAUGCUUUACACAUGCAAGUCGAACGGCAGCACGGGGGCAGCCCUGGUGGCGAGUGGCGAACGGGUGAGUAAUACAUCGGAACGUGCCCGGUCGUGGGGGAUAACGUAGCGAAAGUUACGCUAAUACCGCAUACGAUCUGAGGAUGAAAGCGGGGGACCUUCGGUCCUCGCGCGAUCGGAGCGGCCGAUGUCAGAUUAGGUAGUUGGUGGGGUAAAGGCCUACCAAGCCGACGAUCUGUAGCUGGUCUGAGAGGACGACCAGCCACACUGGGACUGAGACACGGCCCAGACUCCUACGGGAGGCAGCAGUGGGGAAUUUUGGACAAUGGGCGCAAGCCUGAUCCAGCCAUUCCGCGUGCAGGACGAAGGCCUUCGGGUUGUAAACUGCUUUUGUACGGAACGAAAAGGAUCUGGCUAAUACCUGGGGCUCAUGACGGUACCGUAAGAAUAAGCACCGGCUAACUACGUG
rnacentral:rRNA from 1 species